rnacentral:tRNA from 1 species
GGGGUUGUGGCUCAGUGGCAGAGCAUUCACCUAGCAUGUGUGAGGAACUGAGUUCAAUCCUCAGCACCA